CAUAGGAGCCGCAUUCCAAUUUCAGCAAAAUUAGGAUUUGCAAUUCCAUUAUCCGCAUUCCAAAUUCAAUCACAGCCGCAUUUCAAAUUCACUUCCAAUUUCAUCAGAUUCCCAUUUGGAUCCAAUUCCAAUUUCAAGCUCCAAUCACAAUUCCAAUUUCAAAUCCCAAUUCCAAUUUCAAUACCAAAUCAUAUAAGAGACGGUGGUUGGCGAAGACGUGACACAUUAAAUCAGCGAUCGGCUUCGUUGGGAAAAAUCUUCAGUUAAGACGAGUUGUAAGUUACAGGUGAUGACUAGUACCAUCAAGAGAGGCGGAAGUUAUCAUGUCUUGGAGACCUUUAUUAUUAUGCAUUGUGUUGAUGUUAUUUUGAGUAUUUUUAUUUUGGGAAUUCCCGCUCUGAUAGUGACAUCGUGUUGGGACCACAUUUGCACUUAAUUUAACACAUAAGUAUGUGUACUUCUAAAAAGAUUUCAAAUAUGUUCAAAUACUUAAGUUUGAUGGAACAUUUGAACUUAUUCGACGUGUUCGUGAUUAUGUGAUACUUUUUACCUUAAAAAAAUGUUUGAAAGUUUAUAUUUAUUUAUUUGUUUCGAAAUAAUUUCAUUGUUUAGAAAAUAAGGAAAUUUUUUUUGGGGUUUAGGGUGUCACAUUGAUCAACACGUUGCAUUGGUUGUCAUUAAUGUAAGGUGUGAUAUGAAAUUGUGUCAGUUGCUGAAGAACAUCCUAUGAAAGUCAACAUGGAGGUUGCACCAUAUUUUUCGGCAUGGAAAAUAAAUUAUUGGAAUGGUUUAGCUUCAAGUAGAGUAUGAUAGUUCUUUUGAACUAUGAUUAUUGAUAUAGACAAUAAAAUCUGAAGAUGUAUCAAUUUCAAUCAAGGUAGAUAUUGUUGAGUUUUGGUUGAAAUUGAGGAAAUUGAAAUACUCUUACAUUGCUUG